rnacentral:rRNA from 1 species
CACGUAGGGUGCGAGCGUUGUCCGGAAUUAUUGGGCGUAAAGAGCUCGUAGGCGGUGUGUCGCGUCGGCCGUGAAAACCUGCAGCUUAACUGUGGGCUUGCGGUCGAUACGGGCAGACUAGAGGUAUGCAGGGGAGAACGGAAUUCCUGGUGUAGCGGUGAAAUGCGCAGAUAUCAGGAGGAACACCGGUGGCGAAGGCGGUUCUCUGGGCAUGAUCUGACGCUGAGGAGCGAAAGUGUGGGGAGCGAACAGG